UACGAAGGGGGGCUAGCGUUGCUCGGAAUCACUGGGCGUAAAGGGUGCGUAGGCGGGUCUUUUAAGUCAGGGGUGAAAUCCUGGAGCUCAACUCCAGAACUGCCUUUGAUACUGAGGAUCUUGAGUUCGGGAGAGGUGAGUGGAACUGCGAGUGUAGAGGUGAAAUUCGUAGAUAUUCGCAAGAACACCAGUGGCGAAGGCGGCUCACUGGACCGGAACUGACGCUGAGGCGCGAAAGCGUGGGGAGCAAACAGG
rnacentral:rRNA from 1 species